GAUGAACGCUAGCUACAGGCUUAACACAUGCAAGUCGAGGGGUAACGAGAGGAAAGCUUGCUUUCCUUGUCGACGACCGGCGCACGGGUGAGUAACGCGUAUCCAACCUGCCCCCAACUAGGGAAUAACCUUGCGAAAGUAAGACUACUACCCUAUAAUUUCCUCAGAUGUCAUCUGACGAGGAAUAAAGAUUUAUCGGUUGUGGAUGGGGAUGCGUCUGAUUAGCUUGUUGGCGGGGUAAUGGCCCACCAAGGCAACGAUCAGUAGGGGUUCUGAGAGGAAGGUCCCCCACAUUGGAACUGCGACACGGUCCAAACUCCUACGGGAGGCAGCAGUGAGGAAUAUUGGUCAAUGGGCGGAAGCCUGAACCAGCCAAGUAGCGUGCAGGAUGACGGCCCUAUGGGUUGUAAACGGCUUUUAUACAGGAAUAAAGUUAGCCACGUGUGGUUAUUUGUAGGUACUGUAUGAAUAAGGACCGGCUAAUUCCGUGCCAGCAGCCGCGGUAA
rnacentral:rRNA from 1 species